rnacentral:lncRNA from 1 species
UGCCAAAUGAAGUCCUUAAGGUUCAAGAAAAAUAAUACCAAAGGUAAACUCGGAUUUUCAAACAAACAAAAAGAACAGAAAAUGAUAAAUUAUCUGGAUAAGUUAAAGACUAUUUUUUCUCUUAAUUAAAAAAAUAUGCUUUAACCAAUAAAUUUGACACAAGUGACACUGUGCCAGUUACAGGCUUAAGUCCUCCGCUGAAAGCCUUGCCCUGGCUCCACGGGCUUCAGCCCUUUGAACAGAAGAGGGCGCCCUAAACAUGGUGAUUCCUUCCUUUCCCUGCGGGCCCUUUUGGCAAUUCAGGUAGAGGACCGGCGCAAGUGUUCUCGUCAGGAUUCAGUUGUCCAGAGGCCAGCAUUUUCCCUGGACAAGGGGUAGCUAAGGCCUCAGAGGAAGCCACUGACUUUGCAUCUUUCCAAAUCUUGUGAGGUUGAAAUUUUAAUUAUAUUUUAACUAUGGAUAUAAUUGAAGUCCCACGGUAUUCCCUGCCACUUUUCACUACUUAAAAUUUUAGAAUUCCCUCAAAAUGAUGGGCAUCAAGCCUCCUGUACUUCAUGGAUUGAAUACCACCACGUUCUUCCUCUGGCAAACAUUUUUUUAAAAAUUUAUUUAUUUAUUCAUUUAUUUAUGACACAGGGCUCUCUCUUUUGGCCAGGAUGGAGUACAGUAGCUCAGUCGUGGCUCACUGCAGUCUCAACCUGCUGGGCUCAAGCAUUCCUCCCACCUCAGCCUCCCAUAAUGCUGAGAUUACAGAUGUGAGCCACCGCGCCCGUCCCCUCUGGCAGCUCUUAUUCAUCCUUCAGGUCCAGCACAAGUUGUCGCUGCUUCUCUGAAGUUUUCCCACCCCCACCCUCUUCCUUCGAUUUUCCUAGCACAUUUUAUAAACUUCUGUCUUGAUAUUUUUGUCAUGAUGUGCUGCAACAUGUUUCCCCUCCCAGGGGAUAUGCCCGGUCUCACUUCUUUCCCUAAGGCACUCAGGGCUGACUCGGUAAGGACUGUACUCAAGGGUUGGUUCAAACCUUGAAAUGGGAAGAUAAGGACAAUGAGACAGGCACGUGGUUCUGCGGGCUGUUGAGCAACUCUUGAUGAGCUUCAGGGACACAAGGGAGGAGACUGCGGGUGCCCUGGUGGCCACUAGUUGUUUGGACAGCUGGAAAACAGAUUGUUAAAAAUAAAAAUUUUCAUCAGAAUGUUUUCUUCUUUUGUACACAUGACAUUCUGUGCUUCUAAUGAAACUGGGCCUUUACAAAAUGAAAUAAAAGGAUCUGUGCUAUUAUUGACUAUAAAGUGAUCAUCUUUAAAAAGACAGACACUAAGAAAGAAAUUACUAAUUCAGUGAAUUGAAAGUCCAGAGUUCUAGAAUUGAUUUAUGGGUUCCAGCAAGGAUCAGAUAUUUAAAUGAUUAGGUUUUUUAUCAUCUUCCAACUUCUUAUUGUUCAAAAUUGUUACAAAAAUGAAUUCAGGCUGGGCAUGGUGGCUCACACCUGUAAUCCCAGCACUUUGGGAUGCCGAGGAGGGUAGAUCACCUGAGGUCAGGAGUUCGAGACCAGCCUGGCCAACAUGGUGAAACCCUAUCUCUACUAAAAAUAAUAACUAAAAUACUAGCUGGGCAUGGUGGCACAUGCCUGUAAUCCUAGCUACUCAGGAGGCUGAGGCAGGAGAACUGCUUGAACCUGGGAGGUGGAAUUUGCGGUGAGCCGAGAUUGCGCCACUGCACUCCAGCCUGGGUGACAGAGCAAGACUCUGUCUCAAAAAAAAAAAAAAAAAAAAAAAAAGUGAAUUCAGUCUUGCUUAUAUAUUUUGAGUUCCGUAGAGUUCAACAUUCUACUGAAAAUAUAAGAUGAAUGGGUUUCAUUAUCUUGCCUGCUUAAAUUUAUUGAUGCAGGGGUAGAAGCAGGAAAAGAAAAAUAAGAAGAAAAAUAAUUAAUUGAUGUGCAAGUUUGUGGGGUUUUUUUGCCAGGGAACAGAUUUUUUUCAGGACUGUGUCUUUUUUUUUUUUUAAGAAACAGGAAGGUUAUCUUGGAUUAUGACUAAUUAGAUUAAUUUUAAAAACAAAAUAUAUAAAGCGUUGCAUUACUGGGCCAGGUAGAAACCAAACUCUAAAAUCAAUGCUGUAGAGAGAUGCUUUCAAUUUUAUUUUAAAACUGUGUUUUGAUUACAUUUGUCAUUAACUUUUCUGACUUAGGAAAGAAGCUUCAUAUUACAACAGGCUGACAUGUUUUUAGCUCAAGAGUGGAGACUUCUGUCAAUCAUGUGGGAUCAUGAAUGCCUGAAAGGUUGGAGGUCCAUGCGUUGACCAAGAAGAACUCCAGCUGCUUCAGAUUGCUUGAUUGUCACUGAAAAGUACACUCAAUAUGAAGAAGAUUGCAGUUAACUGGAGAUUAAAAUUAGAUGUCUUAAUAAGGCAAAUCAUUUCAACGUAUGUCUUCCCUUUCUUUGAUUUCCUCUCAUGUGUAUUAUAACACCUCUUACUAGAGGGCUCCAGAAGGA